rnacentral:rRNA from 1 species
UACGAAGGGGGCGAGCGUUGUUCGGAUUUACUGGGCGUAAAGGGCGCGUAGGCGCCUUGUCAGUCAGGCGUGAAAGCCCCGGGCUCAACCUGGGAACGGCGCUUGGGACGGCGAGGCUGGAGUUCGGGAGAGGAGAGUGGAAUUCCCAGUGUAGAGGUGAAAUUCGUAGAUAUUGGGAAGAACACCGGUGGCGAAGGCGGCUACUCUGGACCGACACUGACGCUGAGGCGCGAAAGCGUGGGGAGCGAACAGG